UGCCAGCCGCCGCGGUAAUACGGAGGGUGCAAGCGUUAUCCGGAAUCACUGGGUUUAAAGGGUGCGUAGGUGGUUUAGUAAGUCAGAUGUGAAAGCCCGGCGCUCAACGUCGGAAUUGCAUUUGAUACUGCUGAACUUGAAUCAGGUUGAGGUGGGCGGAAUGUGGCAUGUAGCGGUGAAAUGCAUAGAUAUGCCAUAGAACACCAAUUGCGAAGGCAGCUCACUGGCCCUGAAUUGACACUGAGGCACGAAAGCGUGGGGAGCGAACAGGAUUAGAUA
rnacentral:rRNA from 1 species